rnacentral:rRNA from 1 species
UACGUAGGGUGCGAGCGUUGUCCGGAAUUACUGGGCGUAAAGAGCUCGUAGGUGGUUUAUCGCGUUGUCCGUGAAAACUCACAACUCAAUUGUGGGCGUGCGGGCGAUACGGGCAGACUGGAGUACUGCAGGGGAGACUGGAAUUCCUGGUGUAGCGGUGGAAUGCGCAGAUAUCAGGAGGAACACCGGUGGCGAAGGCGGGUCUCUGGGCAGUAACUGACGCUGAGGAGCGAAAGCGUGGGGAGCGAACAGG